rnacentral:lncRNA from 1 species
CCGACGAAGGAAAAUUUCGUCGGCUAAAGUGUACUUUAGCCGACGAAAAUUGUUUCGUCGGCCUGUUUUUUUUUUUUCGUCGGCUAAAGUCUUUCUUCUGGUAGUGGAGGAGGGUAUAAUGGUCAUGUAAAAAAUGUGAAAAUAGACCUUUUAAUCAUUUAAGAUGUUAUAAGGUGACUAUUUUAUCAUGUAACAUGUUUUAAUGUUGACUUUUUUAUUAUCUGGAACAUUUAAAGACUUUUUUAUCAUUUGUACCUUUAAAUGGUAGUUGAGUGUUAUAUACCCUAUAUAAUAUCUCUCCUUAAUUAAAAGCAGUUAGAUGCAUUGCCUCGGACGAAUCAGUUUCUACAAUAAUAUUCCCUAAUCUUCUCUCCAAAGUAAGCUCUAGACCCAACAUAUAUUGUAUACUGUAUAGACAUUAAACAAAUUAAAAAACUGUAUAUCUUUUUUUAAAAAUAUAAUAAUAAUAAACAAACUGUAUAUUGAGGGGAAAUGUUUUAAUUCAGAAUAAAAUCUAAUAGUAAUAAAUAAAAUGUUAUUAUGGUAAACCAAAAUAAAAAAGUAUAUUAAAAAUAAAAAUAACUAAAAAAACGGGUGAUAUAGGAACAUCCAUAUUAUUCUUACUCCGUUCACUAAUAAGACGU